CCCCGCCUGGGGAGUACGACCGCUUGGUUAAAACCCAAAUGAAUUGACGGGGACCCGCACCAUUAGUGGAGCGUGUGGUUUAAUUCAAAGAUACGCGCAGAACCUUACCAACACUUGACAUGUUCGUCGCGACUUUAAGAGAUUAAAGUUUUCGGUUCGGCCGGACGAAACACAGGUGCUGCAUGGCUGUCGUCAGCUCGUGUCGUGAGAUGUUGGGUUAAGUCCCGCAACGAGCGCAACCCUCACUUUUAGUUGCCAUCAUUUAGUUGGGCACUCUGAAAGAACUGCCAGUGAUAAGCUGGAGGAAGGUGGGGAUGACGUCAAGUCCUCAUGGCCCUUACGUGUUGGGCUACACACGUGCUACAAUGGCAUUUACAACAGGAAGCAAAACGGCGACGUUAAGCAAAUCCUAAAAAAAUGCCUCAGUUCGGAUUGUACUCUGCAACUCGAGUACAUGAAGCUGGAAUUACUAGUAAUCGCGGAUCAGCGCGCCGCGGUGAAUACGUUCCCGGGUCUUGUACACACCGCCCGUCACACCAUGGGAGUUGGUUCUACCUUAAGGCAAAGGUUAAAAACUUUGACCACGGUAUAGUCAGCGACUGGGGUGAAGUCGUAACAAGGUAGCCGUAGGGGAACCUGCGGCUGGAUUACCUCCUUUCUAAGGAUGAUUAAAAAAAAUUUUUUUAAUCUAAAUAAUUAACAGGUUAAUGUUGACCGUCCUCAUUUCUCUUUUCAAUAAUGUUACUCUUGGUCUCUAAAUACGGGCCGGUAGCUCAGUUGGUUAGAGCACACCCUUGAUAAGGGUGGGGUCGAAAGUUCGAGUCUUUCUCGGCCCACCAUAUAAAUUUUCUUGGGGGGAUUAGCUCAGCUGGGAGAGCGCCUGAUUUGCAUUCAGGAGGUCAGCGGUUCGAUCCCGCUAUCCUCCACCAUAAGUAACUUAGCUAUUAAAUUUGUAAAUAAAAAAUUAAAUUAUCAAUAUCUAUAUCCGAUUGUUCGAAUUUAUGAACAAUCAAUUAAUAUUCGAAUAGAUGAAUAUUCAAUAAAAAAUUUGAUUCAACACAGAAUUUUUUUCUG
rnacentral:sRNA from 1 species